rnacentral:rRNA from 1 species
AGGACGAACGCUGGCGGCGUGCUUAACACAUGCAAGUCGAGCGGUAAGGCUCCUUCGGGAGUACACGAGCGGCGAACGGGUGAGUAACACGUGAGCAAUCUGCCCUUCACUUUGGGAUAACUUCCGGAAACGGAGCUAAUACCGAAUACGACCAUUACAGACAUCUGUUGAUGGUGGAAAGUUCCGGCGGUGAAGGAUGAGCUCGCGGCCUAUCAGCUUGUUGGUGAGGUAACGGCCCACCAAGGCGACGACGGGUAGCCGGCCUGAGAGGGUGACCGGCCACACUGGGACUGAGACACGGCCCAGACUCCUACGGGAGGCAGCAGUGGGGAAUAUUGGGACAAUGGGCGAAAGCCUGAUCCAGCAACGCCGCGUGAGGGAUGACGGCCUUCGGGUUGUAACCUCUUUCAGCAGGGACGAAGCGAGAGUGACGGUACCUGCAAAGAAGCACCGGCCAACUACGUGUCCAGCAGCCGCGGUAA